UACGUAGGGGGCAAGCGUUGUCCGGAUUUAUUGGGCGUAAAGAGCGUGUAGGCGGCCAAACAGGUCAGCUGUGAAAACUCGAGGCUCAACCUCGAGACGUCGGUUGAAACCGUUUGGCUAGAGUCCGGAAGAGGAGAGUGGAAUUCCUGGUGUAGCGGUGAAAUGGGCAGAUAUCAGGAGGAACACCAAUGGCGAAGGCAGCUCGCUGGGACGGUACUGACGCUGAGACGCGAAAGCGUGGGGAGCAAACAGG
rnacentral:rRNA from 1 species